rnacentral:rRNA from 1 species
CAGUCGCCGCGGGAAUACGUAGGUCCCGAGCGUUGUCCGGAUUUAUUGGGCGUAAAGCGAGCGCAGGCGGUUAGAUAAGUCUGAAGUUAAAGGCUGUGGCUUAACCAUAGUACGCUUUGGAAACUGUUUAACUUGAGUGCAAGAGGGGAGAGUGGAAUUCCAUGUGUAGCGGUGAAAUGCGUAGAUAUAUGGAGGAACACCGGUGGCGAAAGCGGCUCUCUGGCUUGUAACUGACGCUGAGGCUCGAAAGCGUGGGGAGCAAACAGGAUUAGAUACCCGAGUAGUUCCUGUCUCUUAUACA